AUGGGCUCCGGCGAGGGGAAGCAGGGGAAGGGGCUGGUGAAGGGCUGGGCGCAGAGGUACCUCAACCUCGGCUUCGUCGCCGGCUUCCUCCUCGUGCUCCUCACCUACAUCGUCGUCACCCAGCAGUUCGCCAUCACCUCCCCCGACGCUGCCCCCACGAUGACGCCGCACCGGAAGCAGGCGAUCAGCACCCCCGGCGCCGUCGAAACAGGGACGCCGGAGGCUCGAGGUGAGGACAAGGCGGAGACGAAACCUGUCGACGCUUCUUCCGGUGAUGAAACUCCAAAGGAGGAGGAGCAGCAGCAGCCACAGGAUGCGGAGCCGGAAUGGAAGAAGCCGGAAGACACGGUGGCGACGGAGGAAGAGCCCCCCAAAAGAGACGACGCCGCUGCCGAACCGCUCGACAACGGCAAAGUGGUGUGUACCACGGAGGGCCCCUUCUCCGACACGUGCGACGUCUUCGGCGACGUCCGGACCAACGGCACGGCGCACACCGUAACCCUCGUUCCGGUGACCCAGACGGAGAGCCGGGAGUGGAAGAUCCAGCCAUACACCCGCCGCGGCAUGUCCGGCAUCUCGGAGGUCACGGUGACGCAGCUCGACUCAACCUCCGCGGAUUCCCCGGCGCCGGCGUGCACGGUGACGCAUCGCGUCCCGGGCAUCGUGUUUGCGCUCGGCGGCCUCACCGGCAACUACUUCCACGACUUCAGCGACGCGCUGGUGCCGCUGUUCGUGGCGUCGCGGCGGUACGGCGGCGAGGUCCAGCUCCUGGCCAGCAACAUCCAGCCGUGGUGGCUCGGCAAGUACGAGGCCGUGGUGCGGCGGCUGUCCAAGUACGACGUUGUGGACCUGGACCAUGACGAUCAGAUCCGGUGCUUUCCGAGUGUCACCGUCGGGCUACGCAUGCACAAGGAGUUCGACAUCGUGCCGGAGCUUGUCCCCGGCGGCGCCCCACUCUCCAUGGUCGACUUCACCGCCUUCCUCCGCGAGACCUACACCUUACCCCGCGCCGCGCCCAUCAGCUUGAUGAAGGACAUCAGCCCGCCGGAGGACCAGGAGAAGAGGAAACCGCGGUUGAUGCUGCUCCACCGGGGCCACUACCGGAAGUUCGUGAACGUGCCUGAGAUCGUGAAGGCGGCGGAGAAGGCCGGGUUUGAGGUGUCCAUAGCCGACCCGCGGUUCGACGUUAAGGUGGAGGAGCUGGCCCGGUCGGUGAACUCGUUCGACGUGCUGCUGGGCGUGCACGGCGCCGGCCUGACCAACGCCGUGUUCAUGCCCACGGGGGCGGUGGUCAUCCAGGUGGUGCCGUACGGGAACCUAGAGCACAUGGCGAAGGUGGACUUCGGCGACCCCGUGGCGGACAUGGGGCUCCGGUACCUCGAGUACAGCAUCACGGCGGAGGAGAGCACGCUGCUGGAGAUGCUGGGGCCGGACCACCCCGUGAUCAAGGACCCCGAGUCGGUGCACCGGAGCGGCUGGGACAAGGUCGCCGAGUACUACCUCGGCAAGCAGGACGUGCGCGUCGACGUGGAGCGCUUCGCGCCCACGCUCGCGCUGGCCAUCGAACAUCUCCGGCAGAAGUAG
rnacentral:rRNA from 1 species